rnacentral:rRNA from 1 species
GGGGAAUAUUGCACAAUGGGGGAAACCCUGAUGCAGCGACGCCGCGUGGAGGAAGAAGGUCUUCGGAUUGUAAACUCCUGUUGUUGGGGAAGAUAAUGACGGUACCCAACAAGGAAGUGACGGCUAACUACGUGCCAGCAGCCGCGGUAAAACGUAGGUCACAAGCGUUGUCCGGAAUUACUGGGUGUAAAGGGAGCGCAGGCGGGAAGACAAGUUGGAAGUGAAAUCUAUGGGCUCAACCCAUAAACUGCUUUCAAAACUGUUUUUCUUGAGUAGUGCAGAGGUAGGCGGAAUUCCCGGUGUAGCGGUGGAAUGCGUAGAUAUCGGGAGGAACACCAGUGGCGAAGGCGGCCUACUGGGCACCAACUGACGCUGAGGCUCGAAAGUGUGGGUAGCAAACAGGAUUAGAUACCCUGGUAGUCCACACCGUAAACGAUGAUUACUAGGUGUUGGAGGAUUGACCCCUUCAGUGCCGCAGUUAACACAAUAAGUAAUCCACCUGGGGAGUACGACCGCAAGGUUGAAACUCAAAGGAAUUGACGGGGGCCCGCACAAGCAGUGGAGUAUGUGGUUUAAUUCGACGCAACGCGAAGAACCUUACCAAGUCUUGACAUCCCUUGACAGACAUAGAAAUAUGUAUUCUCUUCGGAGCAAGGAGACAGGUGGUGCAUGGUUGUCGUCAGCUCGUGUCGUGAGAUGUUGGGUUAAGUCCCGCAACGAGCGCAACCCUUAUGGUCAGUUACUACGCAAGAGGACUCUGGCCAGACUGCCGUUGACAAAACGGAGGAAGGUGGGGAUGACGUCAAAUCAUCAUGCCCUUUAUGACUUGGGCUACACACGUACUACAAUGGCGUUAAACAAAGAGAAGCAAGACCGCGAGGUGGAGCAAAACUCAGAAACAACGUCCCAGUUCGGACUGCAGGCUGCAACUCGCCUGCACGAAGUCGGAAUUGCUAGUAAUCGUGGAUCAGCAUGCCGCGGUGAAUACGUUCCCG